rnacentral:rRNA from 1 species
GAUUAACGCUUGCACCCUUCGUAUUACCGCGGCUGCUGGCACGAAGUUAGCCGGUGCUUAUUCUGUUGGUAACGUCAAAACAGCAAGGUAUUAACUUACUGCCCUUCCUCCCAACUUAAAGUGCUUUACAAUCCGAAGACCUUCUUCACACACGCGGCAUGGCUGGAUCAGGCUUUCGCCCAUUGUCCAAUAUUCCCCACUGCUGCCUCCCGUAGGAGUCUGGACCGUGUCUCAGUUCCAGUGUGACUGAUCAUCCUCUCAGACCAGUUACGGAUCGUCGCCUUGGUAGGCCUUUACCCCACCAACUAGCUAAUCCGACCUAGGCUCAUCUGAUAGCGUGAGGUCCGAAGAUCCCCCACUUUCUCCCUCAGGACGUAUGCGGUAUUAGCGCCCGUUUCCGGACGUUAUCCCCCACUACCAGGCAGAUUCCUAGGCAUUACUCACCCGUCCGCCGCUGAAUCCAGGAGCAAGCUCCCUUCAUCCGCUCGACUUGCAUGUGUUAGGCCUGCCGCCAGCGUUCAAUCUGAGCCAGGAUCAAACCCUUU